rnacentral:lncRNA from 1 species
AGAGUAGCAGCUCAGGGAAGUUUUGCAGUCAUAUUUAUACCCACUUUUAAUUGCACAUAGAUAGGAUUAUUUUGAUCUCUGGAAAAUUACUAUACAUGUGAGAUAACUUCAGAGUUUUACUUUCACUCUAAUGAAAUUUUGCAAUUUGAAUAUUUUUAAAAGUCAUUGUUGACCCAAUGUGUUUGAAAAUAAUAUUUGACUCAUCAAUAUUCUGAAGUCAGGUUGGUAUUAAUUAUAAUUGUACCUAGUUUCUCAAAACUACUCAAUUAUUUUUUGAGAUGGAGUUUUCCUCUUGUUGUUGCCCAGGCUGGAGUGCAAUGGCACAAUCUCAGCUCACUGCAGCCUCCGCCUCCUAGGUUCAAGCAAUGCUCCUGCCUCAGCCUCCUGAGUAGCUGGGAUUACAGGCACCUGCCACCAUGUCCGGCUAAUUUUGUUUUUUUUCUUUGGUAUUUUCGGUAGAGACAGGAUUUCGCCAUGUAGGCCAGACUGGUCUUGAACUCCUGGCCUCAGGUGAUCCACUGGUAUCAGCCUCCCAAAGUGCUUGGAUUAUAGGCAUGAACCACUGCGUCCAGCCUCAAAUUUUUUUAUGUUGAAAAAAAUAAUGAGACAGAAUUUUAAAAUCUCACUUAUAUUUGUACUUCUGAAAACAAAGGGUCUGAAGUGUUACUGUGUAAUUUUCUAAUUACAUUUUGUUUUCCCUAAUUGAUACAAUUCAUUGCUCACAUUAGUUUUUAAGAGAUUGCAAACAAAAGCCAUUAUUAUUCACCAAUAAUCAAUUAUAACUGUUCUAAUCACAUUCAGUUUUCCUUUAUUUUAAAGAAAGUUAUAGAAGUUAAAUUUUACAUGCUGUUUUAAUUCUGGAAAAUUUCACACAAUUUUGUCAGACAAACAAUUUCACAAAAUGUUGCUUGUAUACCUGCCUCAUGGAGAAAUGCCAGCAUCCUUUGCAAAUCUGAGAGGAGAUUUGCAAAUAAUUCUGAUAACUUUCUCAAUAUCAAGAGUUGUUAGUCAGCUGCAAAAGUGUUCUUCAGUGUACCCUACAAUGAUAAAUGGCAAAGUGAUGGUGCAUACAAUGGCAGGAUGAUCAGUAGCCUGAAGAAGCGUAGGAAUGCAGUAGGUCAUCAUUUCCAUUUUUAUUAGAAUUCUUUUUUUCCCCAGAGCAUCAUUCCUUUCAGCAUUAGCCAAGUUGCUUUUGCACUCUAAGUCCUUGAGCAGAUAUAAUUUCCAUGUCACACAGUGCUCCUUUUGUGAACUUUUACAAAAUUUAAUCCAGUAGUAUUUUUAAAGUGCUUUCACACUUAUUUUUCCCAAAAUGAUCAUAUACUGUGACCAGAAUAUAAAAAUAUUUUUUCUUUAAAAUGUAUAAAGUAUUAUAAGUCACACUCAAAUUGGUUGAAACAAUUAUGUACCUUGUACAAUACAUUGAAUGUCAGCUCAUGAUUCCUCUUCUACCCUAUUU